UACGUAGGGUGCGAGCGUUGUCCGGAAUUAUUGGGCGUAAAGAGCUCGUAGGCGGUUUGUUGCGUCUAUCGUGAAAACCUGCAGCUUAACUGUGGGCUUGCGGUGGAUACGGGCAGACUUGAGUUCGGUAGGGGAGACUGGAAUUCCUGGUGUAGCGGUGAAAUGCGCAGAUAUCAGGAGGAACACCGGUGGCGAAGGCGGCUCUCUGGGCCUUUCCUGACGCUGAGACGCGAAAGCGUGGGGAGCGAACCGG
rnacentral:rRNA from 1 species